UAGCUUAAAAUAUUUUUAAAAAGAUUAUUUCUCUCAUCAUUACAGCUGUAUUGUUAUACUUUUAGUUUGUUGUGUUCAAAUUUUUAACUCAUAAAGGCCGCGAGCUGACACAAGAAGAUGAUGAAUUU